GAUGAAGAACGUAGCGAAAUGCGAUAAGUAAUGUGAAUUGCAGAAUUCAGUGAAUCAUCGAAUCUUUGAACGCACCUUGCGCCCUUUGGCCAUUCCGAAGGGCAUGCCUGUUUGAGUAUCAUGAACACCUCAACUCUUCAUGGUUUUCCAUGAUGAGCUUGGACUUUGGGGGUCUUGCUGGCCUACGGUCGGCUCCUCUAAAAUAAAUCAGCUUGCCAGUGUUUGGUGGGUAUCGCAGGUGUGAUAACUAUCUACGCUUGUGGUUUUCCACCAAGUAACCUUCAGCAGUGGAGGUUCACUGGAGCUCACAGAUGUGUCUCUCCUCAGUGAGGGAUAGCUCUUUGAAUGUUUGAUCUCAAAUCAGGUAGGACUACCCGCUGAACUUAAGCAUAUCAAUAAGCGGAGGA
rnacentral:misc_RNA from 1 species